AUUGAACGCUGGCGGCAUGCCUUACACAUGCAAGUCGAACGGCAGCACGGGUGCUUGCACCUGGUGGCGAGUGGCGAACGGGUGAGUAAUACAUCGGAACGUACCUUAUCGUGGGGGAUAACGCAGCGAAAGCUGUGCUAAUACCGCAUACGCCCUGAGGGGGAAAGCGGGGGAUCGAAAGACCUCGCGCGAUUAGAGCGGCCGAUGCCUGAUUAGCUUGUUGGUGGGGUAAAGCCCACCAAGGCGACGAUCAGUAGCUGGUCUGAGAGGACGAUCAGCCACACUGGGACUGAGACACGGCCCAGACUCCUACGGGAGGCAGCAGUGGGGAAUUUUGGACAAUGGGGGGAAACCCUGAUCCAGCAAUGCCGCGUGAGUGAAGAAGGCCUU
rnacentral:rRNA from 1 species